rfam:Myotis brandtii contig179442, whole genome shotgun sequence.
GGCAGUUCUCGGGUGAUGCACCCCGGAAUCGGGCUCCCUCCUCUCUGGUUCUGGGUGCAUCACCCGAGAACCACA